UUAAACAAAUUAACGUAAAAGAGGAUUAGGGUUACCAUUUGAUAAUAUGAGGGACUCUUCUUCCUCUUACGCUCCAAAACGGCACCGGAAUGGAUCUCCUCCUCCCAUGAACAUUGCGAUGGUGACUCCACUCAUCUCUCACUGUCCUGCUCUCACUCUCAGAUUCAACUCACCACGCCGGUGAAUGCUUCACGGCGGCGGAGUCUCAGUUCACUUGUUGCGCAAAUCUCUCGUCCCAAAACGCUAAUCAAACUCUUCCGAUUUCACUCUCAAUCUCUAUCCUUCUCGCAUCUCUCUGUUUCCGUAUUUCCGUUUCAAUUCAAGUUAAUAGAACUCAACACGGACUUGGUAACAACAAAAACGAACAAGAAUCCAUGGAUGAAACACAUGGCUUACUAAUCAGAGAUAAGUACGAUGCUUACGAUCCAUGUUUCUUCGAGCGCGACAACGAGAAAUUCAGAGAUAAAAAAGUUCAGAUAUGUUGAAGAUUGAAGAAAAUGAUAUAAUGCUGCGGUGAUGUUAAUGAUAGGGAAGACGAAGAUCCGUGAAGAUUGAUGAUGGAUGUUGAUUUAAUAUGCUUUGAAGAAGAACUGUGGUGGUGAUGAUGAUGGAUUCGGUUCAAGAUCCAGAGAAGAGUGCCAUUCAGUUAGAGGUUUUUCUGUCUAUGAACUGUUUUUUGUUGAAUGCAGAGAGUCCAAUUCUUGAAGAUUAUGGUGAUUCGAUGAUGAUGGGAUGAUGAAGAUUAUGAAGGAGAUGAAGGCGCAUAGAUGAUGAAGAAGGUCAAGGUGGAUUUUAUGGUGAUGAUCAAUGAAUGGAAGAGGAUUUCGGUUAGAGGGUCAGUCAUGCUGCUGGGAUGGCUUUGUUUAUGCCACGAAUGGAUUUAAGUUGCAGCUAAUUUUACUUUCUUUUUCUGGUUUAUGGCUGAAAGAUCGAACCGGUUCAAUUUAGGAUUGAACUGAAUUCUUAUUGAACCGUUGCAGAGAAAGUUUAGCAGGCCGAUGAGAGUUAACUGGUUUUGUACUUUGUAGUGAAUUCUUGAAUGGAAAUAUGGAUAGAACUUUUAAUAGUGGAGUGAUUUUUGUAAUGAAUUUAUAUGGAAUUUAUUUUAUUGUAAUGGACUUGGUGGAUGCGGAUAACAAACCUGAAUUUUGUAAUGAGUUUCUUGUAAGCAAUUUUGAAUGAAUUUACCAAUGAAUGUCUCUUUUGAAUAUUGAACACAAUGGAAACUUAAGAUUAACAAAUCUUGAACUCACUAUUGAAUGUAGUUUGGAUAACAUAACUUUUAAAUUUCUUUUCCACCAAAUGCAUUUCAAUUUGAGUUUUUAAGUUCUAUGUUCAAAUUGCACCAACACUCUUAAUACAAAUCAACCAAUGAAUGAAUGCUUCUAAAAUCUAAAUAACAAAGAAAUAUGACUGGAACACAUAAUUUGGACUUUGAACCAUGAUGAACGCCUUAAGCUUGAGAAGAUUCUGACACUCCACAUAAACUCGAAUAAGUUCUGGUGCAACAUCUCCAGAAUCAUGACUUGCAUCACACUUACUCAGUUAAAUCAAACUGCCUUGCAACAGCGAGAACUUUUUAUUAAUUUUCUUCAAUUUUUGAACGACGAAGUGAACGUCCUUGAUAACCUAUAGCACAGAUAAGAGGGCAAAUUUUGGGGUG